AGUGAACGCUGGCGGUAGGCCUAACACAUGCAAGUCGAACGGCAGCACAGUAAGAGCUUGCUCUUACGGGUGGCGAGUGGCGGACGGGUGAGGAAUACAUCGGAAUCUACUUUUUCGUGGGGGAUAACGUAGGGAAACUUACGCUAAUACCGCAUACGUCCUACGGGUGAAAGCAGUGGAUCUUCGGACCUUGCGCGAUUGAAUGAGCCGAUGUCGGAUUAGCUAGUUGGCGGGGUAAAGGCCCACCAAGGCGACGAUCCGUAGCUGGUCUGAGAGGAUGAUCAGCCACACUGGAACUGAGACACGGUCCAGACUCCUACGGGAGGCAGCAGUGGGGAAUAUUGGACAAUGGGCGAAAGCCUGAUCCAGCAAUACCGCGUGGGUGAAGAAGGCCUUCGGGUUGUAAAGCCCUUUUGUUGGGAAAGAAAAGCAGCAGGUUAAUACACCGCUGCUCUGACGGUACCCAAAGAAUAAGCACCGGCUAACUUCGUG
rnacentral:rRNA from 1 species